rnacentral:rRNA from 1 species
CUACGUGCCAGCAGCCGCGGUAAUACGGAAGGUUCGGGCGUUAUCCGGAUUUAUUGGGUUUAAAGGGAGCGUAGGCUGGAGAUUAAGUGUGUUGUGAAAUGUAGACGCUCAACGUCUGACUUGCAGCGCAUACUGGUUUCCUUGAGUACGCACAACGUUGGCGGAAUUCGUCGUGUAGCGGUGAAAUGCUUAGAUAUGACGAAGAACUCCGAUUGCGAAGGCAGCUGACGGGAGCGCAACUGACGCUGAAGCUCGAAGGUGCGGGUAUCGAACAGGAUUAGAUACCCUGGUAGUCCGCACAGUAAACGAUGGAUGCCCGCUGUUGGUACUUGGUAUCAGCGGCUAAGCGAAAGCAUUAAGCAUCCCACCUGGGGAGUACGCCGGCAACGGUGAAACUCAAAGGAAUUGACGGGGGCCCGCACAAGCGGUGGAGUAUGUGGUUUAAUUCGACGCAACGCGAAGAACCUUACCAGGUCUUGACAU